rnacentral:rRNA from 1 species
AUUGAACGCUGGCGGCAGGCCUAACACAUGCAAGUCGAACGAGUCGCGCCCUGGUGUCUUCUGUCUGGGAAACUGCCUUAUGGAGGGGGAUAUCUUCUGUAAACGGUAUCUUAUACCGCCUUCCAUCGUUUGUCCCCAGAUGCGAUUAGCUUGUAGGUGGGGUAAAGGCUCACCUAGGCGACUAUCCCUAGCUGGUCUGAGAGGAUGACCAGCAACACUGGAACUGAGACACGGUCCAGACUCCUACGGGAGGCAGCAGUGGGGAAUAUUGCACAAUGGGCGCAAGCCUGAUGCAGCCAUGCCGCGUGUAUGAAGAAGGCCUUCGGGUUGUAAAGUACUUUCAGCGGGGAGGCGUUACCCGAAGAAGAAGCACCGGCUAACUCCGUGCCAGCAGCCGCGGUAAUAC